AUCCUUUUGUAAUACAUAAGCAGAAUGAUUGGGUUUUUAUGUUCAUAUGUUUGAUAUGCCUUCCUCAAAUCCUCUUAUGAUGUCGGCACAUUACCUAUCUGAGG
rnacentral:snoRNA from 1 species